rnacentral:rRNA from 1 species
CCAGACUCCUACGGGAGGCAGCAGUGGGGAAUAUUGGGCAAUGGGCGCAAGCCUGACCCAGCAACGCCGCGUGAAGGAAGAAGGCCCUCGGGUUGUAAACUUCUUUUAUCAGGGACGAAACAAAUGACGGUACCUGAUGAAUAAGCCACGGCUAACUACGUGCCAGCAGCCGCGGUAAUACGUAGGUGGCAAGCGUUAUCCGGAUUUACUGGGUGUAAAGGGCGUGUAGGCGGGUCUGCAAGUCAGAUGUGAAAUUCCAGGGCUCAACCCUGGAACUGCAUUUGAAACUGUAGAUCUUGAGUGAUGGAGAGGCAGGCGGAAUUCCGUGUGUAGCGGUGAAAUGCGUAGAUAUACGGAGGAACACCAGUGGCGAAGGCGGCCUGCUGGACAUUAACUGACGCUGAGGCGCGAAAGCGUGGGGAGCAAACAGGAUUAGAUACCCGUGUA